AUGGCGGCGCGCGGGCAGGGUCUGGAGCAAGAUUUCGAUUUCUUCGUGGUGGUCGACUUUGAGGCGACGUGCGUGAAAGAUGGGCGGAUCUUCCCGCAGGAAAUCGUCGAGUUCCCCGCGGUGCUCGUCGACGGCGCCACCGGCCGCAUCGAGUCCGCGUUUCGCAGGUACGUUCGUCCCAAACAUCACCCUGUGCUGAUCAAAUUUUGCAGGGAGCUCACCGGCAUCCGGCAGGAGGACGUCGACGGCGGCGUGGAACUCGGCGACGUGCUCUGGCUGCACGAUUCUUGGCUGAAGGCGACCAUUCUCGAGUUCGAGUGCCGCUUCAAGGGCAUUGAGAAGCCCUCCUACUUCGAUCGCUGGAUCAACCUGAGGGUCCCCUUCCAGGCGGCGCUCGGCGGCGGAGGGCGGGUCAACCUGCAGGAGGCGGUCCGGGCGGCGGGGCUGGACUGGGAGGGCCGCCUGCACUGCGGGCUGGACGAUGCGCUCAACACGGCGCGGCUGCUUGCUGAGAUCAUGCGGCGAGGGGUCAAGAUCACCAUCACCGGCUCGCUGGCGCCGCCGCCGCCGAUCCAGCAGAAGCAGCAGCCUGGCGCAAGCCCUUGCGGUGGCUCACCGGCGCUGGCGCCGCCACCAAUCCAGCAGCAGCCGCCUCGCACAGGCCCUUGUAGUGGCACAUUUGCGCUGGUCCCGGCGCCGGCGCCGAUCCAGCAGAAGCAGCAGCCGCCGCAGCCUCACAUAAUCAGCCCCUGCGGUGGCUCCUCCGCGUGCUUCUCGUACUGCGAGGUGGCGACCAGAGGAGCCAUGGAGCCAGGGCCGAUGCGGUCUGGAUGCGCCAACUGGACGCCGGCCAUGGGACCUUACUUCCUGUGGAGCAACUGA
rnacentral:rRNA from 1 species